AUGGGCGUUGGUCUCUAUGGCUAUAUCGAUCAAACCAGCCAAGAACCUCCAAAAACCAUCAUCACCAAAAACGCCGAAGGGAAGGAACAUGUUGUCUCAAAUCCUGCCUACUCACCAUGGCUUAUCCAAGAUCAAAAAAUAGUUGCUUACCUCCUCGGAAACCUAUCCAAAGAAGUCCUCGUCCAAGUCGCCACCCUUGAGAAAUCUCAUGCGAUCUGGGAUGCAUUGGGAAACAUGUUUUCUGUUGUAUCCUUGUCGUGCGUCAACAACAUACGAGCUGCCCUCACCAAUUCACAGAAGGGGUCCCAGUCGACCACAACCUACUUUGGGCACAUGCGAUCUCUCCCCGACGAGCUUGCGGCAGCAGGCAAACCGCUCGGUGAGGGCGAGCUCAUCUCCUUCAUCAUCACCGAUCUUGACAUGGAGCAUCAGCCCAUCGUUUCUGCGCUGGAUGUUCGCACUGAGCACAUCACCGUCGACACUCUUUUCUCUCUCGUGGCCAACUUCGACCAGAGGGUUGAGAUGUUCCAUGGCAAUGGAGCAGGCGGCUUCAAAUCCUCAGCAAACGCCAUCUCUCUCAGUGGCGGCCGAUAG
rnacentral:rRNA from 1 species